GACGAACGCUGGCGGCGUGCUUAACACAUGCAAGUCGAACGAUGAAGCCGGAGCUUGCUCUGGUGAAUUAGUGGCGAACGGGUGAGUAACACGUGAGUAACCUGCCCUUGACUCUGGGAUAACUGCGGGAAACUGUAGCUAAUACCGGAUACGACCCUCGGAGGCAUCUCCUGGGGGUGGAAAGAAUUUCGGUCAAGGAUGGACUCGCGGCCUAUCAGCUAGUUGGUGAGGUAACAGCUCACCAAGGCGACGACGGGUAGCCGGCCUGAGAGGGUGAGCGGCCACACUGGGACUGAGACAGAGCCCGGACUCAUGCGGGAGGCAGCAGUGGGGAAUAUUGCACAAUGGGCGCAAGCCUGAUGCAGCAACGCCGCGUGAGGGAUGACGGCCUUCGGGUUGUAAACCUCUUUUCGCAUGGAAGAAGCGAAAGUGACGGUACCUGCAGAAAAAGCACCGGCUAACUACGUGCCAGCCGCCGCCGUAA
rnacentral:rRNA from 1 species